AAAUGGGUCAUCUAAUGGUAGGACGCUUGGUUCUGGCCCAAGUAAUCAAGGUUCGAGUCCUUGCCCAG
rnacentral:tRNA from 1 species